CCGCCACCGGCGCCGCACGCGCAGGGGCUAAUCACCGCCGCGAUGUCCAUUAGCCGGGUGCUGCUUCCGGGUCUGCUGCUCCUGCUUCUGGGCGCGCCCGGCCCGAGUCUCGGCCGACCGCCGCGACAGCGAGAUGACGUCACCCGCCUCCGCCGCACAAACACAGAGCGGUCGAUCCUAUCCCGCGUGACGUCAUCUGAAGAAGUCGCCGACACCACCCUAGACUCGGAUGACUGGCAAGCCGGCCACUGGAGGCCUCUCCAGCGCCAGUCCGACGGCGACCUGGAGUCCGCCCGAACUCGGACCAUUCCCGAGCUGGCGCGUCCGCCGGCCGACGACAACAGCGCCGCUGUGGCGGCAGACAAAACC